GGCGGCAGGCCUAACACAUGCAAGUCGAGCGGUAACAUUUCUAGCUUGCUAGAAGAUGACGAGCGGCGGACGGGUGAGUAACGCGUAGAAAUCUACCUAGUAGUGGGGGAUAGCCCAGAGAAAUUUGGAUUAAUACCGCAUACGCCCUACCGGGGAAAGCGGGGGAGUCUUCGGACCUCGUGCUAUUAGAUGAGUCUGCGUCGGAUUAGCUUGUUGGUGAGGUAAUGGCUCACCAAGGCGACGAUCCGUAGCUGGUCUGAGAGGAUGACCAGCCACACUGGAACUGAGACACGGUCCAGACUCCUACGGGAGGCAGCAGUGGGGAAUAUUGCACAAUGGGCGCAAGCCUGAUGCAGCCAUGCCGCGUGUGUGAAGAAGGCCUUAGGGUUGUAAAGCACUUUCAGCAGUGAGGAAAGGGGUGUCGUUAAUAGCGCCAUCCUGUGACGUUAACUGCAGAAGAAGGACCGGCUAACUCCGUG
rnacentral:rRNA from 1 species